UCAACUCUGCGUCACUUCCUGUGCCUGCACGCACGCUCCGACUGCGUGCCCGAUUUCCGGGCUCUGUGCUACUGGAGCGCCUGGCUCUUGCAGCUCACGAGCCUGGGAAGUCGCCUCUAUCCAAAGGCCUUUUUUCUGUGCUGUCUGCGCAAGCUGCCUUCUCCCUGCCUGCCCACGGGAGCAUGACCAAGGUGGUAGGCUGCCAGUGGCCAUCUCCAUAAAGGCAACUGAAAGUUUCAUACUGGAAGCUCUUUGGCUGGCACUCCCACAGUUCUAUGAAAUAAACUUACUUAAAGCUCUAUGAAGUAUGAAAACUUUGCCCUGCUCUUUGACUUGCACAAAUUUUGUUUGUAUGGUACAUUAGAAGAGAGAAAAGGACGGCUUGCGAUGGCAUUAUUAACUAAUGGAGCACUGCAAUUUUUACCAGGAGAUGAGCUAUGCUUAGAAGACUCAGACUUUUUAGAAAAUCAUUUCUCCACUUAAAAAAAAAAUUGAAGGAAGGCAAGAAAUUUCACAACAUAGUGAUAAACAGUCACCAUCUUUAUAGUAUCCAUAUAACUAUUCAAAAA
rnacentral:lncRNA from 1 species